rnacentral:lncRNA from 1 species
CUAUUGUAAACCUCAAAUUUCCUUAGACUUAUAAUUGUUGAAAAUUUCACCAUUGGGAUAUUUCAUACUUGGAAAAUUUCUUACUGAUAGUCUAUUGGAAUGGGAACCCCAUUGGCAUGGGAGGUUCCUUCUCUUCCCUUCUUAAGAUUACUUUAGGACAGAAACCCUUUGCUGAACAAUGGAAAGGACUUUGGCCUAUGCUUAAGCAUAGAACAGGAAUUUCUUUGAGUCUUGAUUGAUUUUAGAAUUGAUACAAUGGAGAUACUCCACCCUAUUCAGUCCUAAUAGGAUUGAGUAAGGGCUGCAGCCUAGAUCAAAAUUUAAUUAUUCCAAUCUCUACCAUACUCAAGUUAACAGGAUUUAGAAAGGGCUGGAACAAAGGAGUAAAGAUUUAAUCAUUUGAAAAAUAUGACCUUCAACAGACAUGUGCAAAAGCCAGAAACCUCUGGGCGGUCCUGGGUUAAGCGAGAGCCUCCAUUGACAGGGAAAUUGAUGAAGAGUGAUUGGUAGAUGUGAGGACUGAGGGGAGGCAACUUGGAUGGCGUCCUUAAAGAUAGGAGGGUCUGGAGACUCGAGAGAGAGGAUUGAGUUUUUGGUCGGUGUGGGUCUGGAGACUCGAGAGAGAGGAUUGAGUUUUUGGUCGGUGUGGUUCCUGGGCUCUGAGGAAGCUUGCUCUGAAGGAAGCUGAAGGUGGGGGCCUCUGAGACUGUUUCUCCAUUUUGGACACGUGAGUGAAAGGGACUGAUCUCUUUUCUUUGCCCCAGCUAUCUAAGGGCUUGGGCCUUUUGGCCCAGCCUAAACAGAAGGGGUAUUUAAGCCCUAUUCCCUUCUCUCCCCUUUCUCUCUCUAUAUAUAUCUCUAAUUCCUUUCUUGCUCCUAUUGUAAUUAAACUCCAAAAAAGGCUGACGGCUGACUUGAGUUUUUCAUUUAGGAAUUACAUAGCUGAUUCCUUGGCGACCUUAAAUUAAUAUAUAUCAGUCUUUUAAAGUGAUUCCCUUGUAACACUAUUAGUGUUAUUGAUUUGCACUUUCAAAAAUAUUUUUAAGACUUUAAAAUAA